CGCGGCCGCUGGCGGUGGGAGCAGCAGAGCCGGUGCGUCUGGAUCCGGAGGGAAGAUCCGCUCACCGGCAAGAUCCGCUCUGCGCCGGCAAGAUCCGCUCCGCGCGGCUCGCGCUCACGGACGUCACCCCGACGCAGCUGAUGACGGAGGAGGCGACGAACGGGGACGCGUCGCCGCCCAACGUCAAGACGAUGGGGCUCAUCGCCCGCUAGGCGCUCCUCCUCCUGGAGCACCUCCUGACGCACGGGCCCCGGAGCGUCGCGGCAGAGUUCCAGAAGGACAGGGACGCCAUCGCCCGGAUGGCCACCUUCCAGCACAUCGACGAGAAGGGCUUCAACUGGGGCCUGACGGGGAAGAGCAAGUCAGAGCGCGUGCUCAAGCUGCUGGAGCGGGGCCCGUUCCUAGAGGAGGAGCGCGAGGGGGCAGGCAAGAUCGCGUGCGAGAUCAAGGGCUUCCCCUACCAGUUGGAGGUCCUCGAGAGGACCUAUACAGGUUCGUCGGCUGCUCAGUAAUAUGAGUGUUUUGGAUUUGUUUUUGCGAGCUGUCGAUCGGAAUUGUGUGCGUGUUUUUCAUGGGGAUUCGAUUUGCAUUGUGUUGUGUUGGUGCAGAGGACUCGUAC